AAUAAAAAAAUUUUUAGUUUCUUUAUAUUUAGGAUAGUCUAAUUAGAUAAAAAAAAGUCGAUUUUUACUUUUUUAUGCAACACUGGCUUAUUGCCCACCUCUCAAAGAGAGCUGAUUGUCGAUAACAUGCGUAAGACAAAAUUGGCGGCAAAUCAUUGUGCAACAUUUGUGGUUAAUAUUUCCUCAGAGAAUUAAAAAGUUUAAGCUGGUGUCAUGGAAAACAGUAGGCCAGUCAACUUAACAAUUGUAGCUGUGUUUCGUGGAAUAUAACUUUUGUAUGGCAAACCACUUCAAAAGAAUUUUAACGGCAAGUUAUUAACUAACAUGUGUAUAAUAUUAUACAACUAGUUUCAUAUGCACCUUUUUGUUCCUUUUUGAAAAAAUUACGUUUUUGUAGAUGAAUACUUGUUUGGGCAUGCAGAGCUGCUUGACAUUUGGAGCAACAAUAGUCGCUCUGAGGAUGCAGUUAGGCAGCAUAUAUUUAAAAAAAUUGGUCAGAAUAAUUUAAAUGAAUGUUGUAUUUCACUGAUAAAUAAAAAAGUUAAGUCCUUCUUUGAUUACAUAAGGAAACAUUUGCCAGGUUGCAAUAGAUUAUAGGUUGUAAGUAUAAUAGCAUAACAAUGACAUAUGAUAAAUUUAUUUUUAAAUUUCAUGACAAACUGUUUUGGACCAUCAUAUACAUCUUAAUAUGAUUUUAUUUUAUUUGAUUUUCUGUAUAUAAUAUCAUAAUAUAAUAUAAUUAAAAAUAGAUACAAAUUUUUUUUUUUUGGUAAUGUAAAUAUUUUUAUGGCAUAUCGGCCAGAUCGUUUAUAUGGCAGCUAUAUGAAAGUUGACCAAAUCACUUGAAACUUUGUGAAUCAUCUUGGGGGAAGUAAAGAGUAACACAAACCAAAUUUGGUGAAGAUAGGUCAUCAUUUCGAAUUUCUGCCAAAAAAAACGCA